rnacentral:tRNA from 1 species
GGGCCUUUAGCUCAGUUGGUUAGAGCAGAGGACUCAUAAUCCUUUGGUCGAUGGUUCAAGUCCAUCAGGGCCCACCA